rnacentral:rRNA from 1 species
UACAGAGGUCUCAAGCGUUGUUCGGAUUCAUUGGGCGUAAAGGGUGCGUAGAUGGCAUGGUAAGUCGGAUGUGAAAUCCCAGGGCUCAACCCCGGAACUGCAUUCGAUACUGCUGCGCUAGAGUACUGGAGAGGAGAUUGGAAUUUACGGUGUAGCAGUGAAAUGCGUAGAUAUCGUAAGGAAGACCAGUGGCGAAGGCGGAUCUCUGGACAGUUACUGACACUGAGGCGCGACAGCGUGGGGAGCAAACAGG